AAAACUACUUUGAGAUAUUGUUGAUAUCACGUGAUCAAAGUGUUUUCCGGUUAAACUGAUGCAGGAUCUGUCUUGCUACCGUCUGCUCUAGUUAUUGUGAUUUGAUGUAAAAUGUCGUUCAGAUGACACAUGCCAGUUGAAAUGUAGUCUGAGUUAUGGGAAAUUCUUCCUCUUCGGAGCUGCCAUUGGCAGGAGUCAUCUGCCUUGCUGUGUUUGGAUACACCUCUUUAAUUUUCAUAAUUGUGUUAAUCAGAUAUAUAUGUAUGAGACAAGGAAAGUGCCAAAAUGUGGAGUGUGGGUUGUGUGGGAAGGAAGGCGCACCGCAGUGUUCUCAGUGCUGCAUCAGUUGUUCAGAGGCGUCUGGAUGUACCGCCCCAUCUGUAACUGGAUGUUUGGAUAAAUGUUGUCCAAACAAAAAGCUUACUUGUGUUGAUGUUUUAUUAUGCCAGUGCUGUUUAGGGGAAGACAACUGUUUUACAAAAAGCUCAGGUUCUUGUGAUUCUUGCUAUUGCAAUUUUUCCUGUCCACAAUGUGAGGCAGUCAGCUGUUGUUGUAUUGAAAUAAAGCUUCGCCAACCCAGUCUGACCUCCUUUACCCAACAGCCCACAAGUUCAGACCCCUCAAAAACCACCAUCAGAAAUACAUUCUCUCCCUCAGGCAAUGUUAUGGCUCAAGAAAAACUUUUUCAAGCUUCUAAUGCAUCUGGCAUAGUAACAUCUCAGAUGCAUAUAAACAGAGCAUUCGAUGAAACUGUGGAAAAAGUCACGGAAAUGCAGACACAGGAUGAAUGUCCAAGAAAAUCAAAGCUGAAACCAAUCUCCAGCAGAAAUGCUGUUUCAAAAGUUGUGGUACAUGAUAAUGAUGAGCCUGGUUCCAUAGAAGUGAAAGGGAAACGAAUCAGGGACAGAAAAAAACUUUCUAAUGAAAAAGACAAGGUAGUUCCUUUCAAAGAAAAUCCAGAGAAAGAAGUUCCACCCAGAAAGAGACCAAGGAAGAAAAGGACCAAACCCAGUCCAGAUCAGAUUGGAGAGUCUACCUCUGUAGAACCAUUACCAGGGAGAGGGAGAAAAGUUCCGUGUCCAAAAAACACAUCAAAAGCUCAGUUGUUGCCUUUAUCAUCCAUUAAAUCAUCAAGCACCACUCCGUCUACUGGAAAUCGCAAUCCGAAAAAAGUAACAUGGAGAAAUCAACCCAUGAAACCAGUUGACUAAGAGUAUACUCAAAUCCUGGGAGUGAAUCAAAGUUCUUUGAUUGUGAGGACUUUCUGAGGAAUUUUUCCUGUUAUCAGGUAUGUGAAGACUGAGGAAAAAUCAAUUGGCUAACAUAAUUUAAAUUUAGAUGAGCAAUUCUGAAAAUUCAAAGUCAUGCACUUAAAGUACAUCAAAGGUUUUUAAAAAAAAAAACGACCUAGCCUGAACUAUGCAUGAUUUACAGGACUACAUUCAUGGAAGAAGUUGUUGCCAUUACAGUUGUAGGGAAUUCUGGGAUACUUGUUGUAAUAGAAAGAGAGAAUCAAGAAAAGUAGAAUGUAUUGAAGAUGGCACAGAAAUGUCAUUGCAGCAUUUCAAAGUUCAUUCUAAGGGUCAUCAUCAUAGAGCUAGGCAACAGCCAAAUAACCAUGGAAACGGUGACACUGACACCGAUUUUAGUAGGCACGAGAAACGCAGUCAAAUUGUUCACGUUACUCAGGUGCAGGGUGACAGAAAACAUAGCUCUGUACAUGUAUGUGUUAGUUAUAUAAGUGAUUAUGAUGACGGUGAUGAAAGUGAUGAUGAAAGUGAUGAUGAUGAUGAUGAUGAAAGUGAUUUUUUUGGCAGCUCUGAAUAAGAAGCAGUUAAGAUAAUAUUUUGGGAUUUUGUGAUAUCUAUAUUUCAUUAAAUUGAACACCUAAACUGAGAUUUCUGUGUUGAAACAUGUUCAGAGUUUUUGAAAAAAUUGGUUUUAUUUUUUUCUUACAGAAAGAAAUUGGAUUAUAUUUUUAUCAGCAGGAAGUAUGUUUUAUGAUACUCAUUAGAAUUCAUAAAAAAGAUGUUAUUUCUGUGUUGUGAAUAUGACAAAAUUGUAGAAAUUAAGUUUUAUCUACGCAUUUAUAAAUGCCUUGACUUU